rnacentral:rRNA from 1 species
GAUGAACGCUGACAGAAUGCUUAACACAUGCAAGUCAACUUGAACUUCGGUUUGGGUGGCGGACGGGUGAGUAACGCGUAAAGAACUUGCCUCACAGAUAGGGACAACAUUUGGAAACGAAUGCUAAUACCUGAUAUUAUGAUUAUAUGGCAUCGUAUAAUUAUGAAAGCUAUAUGCGCUGUGAGAGAGCUUUGCGUCCCAUUAGCUAGUUGGAGGGGUAACGGCUCACCAAGGCGAUGAUGGGUAGCCGGCCUGAGAGGGUGAUCGGCCACAAGGGGACUGAGACACGGCCCUUACUCCUACGGGAGGCAACAGUGGGGAAUAUUGGACAAUGGACCAAGAGUCUGAUCCAGCAAUUCUGUGUGCACGAUGAAGUUUUUCGGAAUGUAAAGUGCUUUCAGUUGGGAAGAAAAAAAUGACGGUACCAACAGAAGAAGUGACGGCUAAAUACGUG